rnacentral:lncRNA from 10 species
CUACGUUGUGUUGAGCCUGCAGGCACACAGAAUGCACAAGUGAAGGAGGCUUGGCAGCUUCCACCUAGAUUCCAGAGGAUGUAUCAGAGGAAAGCCUUGGUGCUUGCCGCAGGGUGGAGCCUCCACAAAGAUACUUUCCUAGGGCAGUGCUAAGGGGAAAUGUGGGGUUGGAGCCCCACACAGCGUCCUCACCAGGGCACUACCUAGUGGAGCUGUGAGAAGGGGGUUGCUGUCCUUCAGUUGGGAAAAUGGUAGAGCCACUGGCAGCUUGCAUCCUGAGCCUGGAAAGCCACAGGCACUCAACUCCAAUCCAGGAGAGCAGCCACUCGGUGGCAGUCUGCAUAGCCAUGGAGGUGGAGAUGCCCUAAGUGUUGGGAGUCCAUCCCUUGCACCAGUGUGCUCUGGUUUCAGGACAAGGAGUGAAGGAUUAUUUUGGAGCACUAAGGUUUAAGGCUCAUAGGUGGAAGGACUUGCCUUGAGUCUCAGAAGAGACUUUGGACUUUUGAGUGAUGCUGGAAUGAGAUACAGAUUUAACCCUUUCCAGUACCGGCGGGAAAGAAAAAUGCUUGGAGAUGGACUCCCAGAGGAACAGGAACAUUGUCUUACUCAUCUUUCUCUACCAAGUAACCAUCAAAAGACUUGGCACUAGGAAGUUACCAGAAAGAAUAAAGUGAAUGUUGCACAUUGCAAGAUUUCUCUAUCAUUAAAAAGUAAGUAAGAAAGAAAAGCCCCACAACAAAUCAGUUGGGAUGAUUAAAAUAGCUUUGGCACUGCUCCAACCUUGAAAAAUCCUUCAGCGCGGUGACUCAUGAUGAUCCAAUCCAAAAAAAUGUGUGAGGCCGACCAGGCAAAAAGGCAAGGAGCAGCUACACCGGAAAAUUAGCACUCCCUAAUCCUCUUCAAAACAGUUGAUGAAGGAGAGACUAUUUGAAUAAUUUGAACCCCAAUUUGAAUAAUUCAUACCUAUUCUCAUGUGUGGCUGGCUGAAUAGAGACUCUCACUGACUGCAUUCAUUUCAUCAGGAGUGUUUACCUUGUACAUUUUUUUCCCCUGGAGAUUGGUUAUGUGGCCAUUACACGUAUCUAAUUGUUUUUCAUUUUGUAAAUGUAAGAGCUUAUCAUUUAUCUAGUUAAGGUACACUGUUACUAGAGCAUUUAAUAUGAUUGAUUGCCAAACAGAAGGUGCAUCCUUUGUCAGAUGUUAAAGUGACUGUUGAUUCUUUAACCCCUAGGGAAUACGACGCCAGUAUAUUUGGUUUCACAAAGUUUUAAAUCCCCUUUUGCAAAUGUUAAAAUUAAACUUCCCCCUCAUGUGAACAAAAUAUGCAACAUAAUCUGUGCUCUUGUGACCCACUUAAUUUCAUAUGAAGAAUUCAAUCACUUAGAAAAAGUUUUUGAGACAUAGGUAAUGAUGCUUCAGAAGGUACCCCAGGAAGUCAAUUUGCCAAAUCCUAGUCCCAUAGAAGCAGGAGGGAGCUUCAAAGUUAUAUGCUUCACUGCCCUCUCUUCAGAUGUGAGAGCACCUAAUUUCCUACAAACUCAAGGUAACAACAUGGGCUCAGAAGUCACGCGCUUAAAUUAAGCAACAUGGCUGCAAAAAACGUUGAUGGCCAAUGUUAAUGAAAUUAAAACAAGCAAAACAAUUUGAACCUCUGAAAAUGCAAUUUUCACAUCAUAGUUAAAAAUUAUUAUUUAUUUUUUCAUACCACAAAGUGCUUUAUUGUUAGGGCACUGGUUUAAAUUAAAAAAGAAAGUGUGUUGACAGCAACAAAAAAAGAUUGUGAUCUACUGAACAAUUUUUGCAAGCACAUUGUUUCUUGGGCCACUUUGAGCAGCUGACCUAAAAAAUAUUAAUCGGAUUAGUAUCUAUUCUGCUCAUAAAAAUUUCUUAUGAAAGAACAAGUCUGUUGCAAGCCAUCUCAAUUUAUACAAUUUAAUAUCAAGAUAUUCUAUUUUACCCUUAAGAUAUUUCAAACAUGCACUUUUCCUUUGAAUUGUAACAAUGGGGCUAUAAAUAAUAAGGAUUUCUUUAUGUUUUUCUUCUGUGAGUACAUCACAGAAAAUAUCCGUUUUUAAAUAACACUAUGAAAUUGAUGGCUCCAUAUCUUACAGAUAACCUAUUGUGAACUCUGAAUCAUUUUGCCAUAUCAUUUUUGGAAAUUUAUCCUCAAGCCUCUGUUUUUGUAUUUUUUCAUGUGUUUAAAAAUUAUAAUUAUAUACUUAUAUUCUGAAUGUAUUCUUAGUGAAAAAUACGUUGGUUUUUAAACUUAAUAAUAAAAACUUGUAACUUUCCAUGUUCUCAUGAAAAGAUAAUGUUACAUGUCCAUUGUAGAGAAGUUGAAAAAUACAGAAAACAUUUGUGAAAUAAUAUUAAAAGCACUUAUAAUUCAACUAUCAGAAAUAACA